UUGUUCUUAUAAGUUUUUAUUAUUAAGGUUAUAUUCCUGUUCACUUUGUUAUAACCUGAGUAGAUCUCCGCCUAUUGGGGGUAUAGCCAGUGGAGGAGGAACCAGUUUUUACUAGUUGUGUCCAUGGGCGUCCACAGAGGGGGGCAAGAGGGGGCAGUGCCCCCCCCUGGGACUGUGCUACGGCCCGCGGGCCAAAUGCGGGCCGAUAUCCAUUAAUUUGCCCGCAGCGUGCAAAAAUCCCUCCCCCCUCUCAGCAUCCAGAGUUUCCUACCAAGGCGUCAUGAUUGGGGGGCGGCACCUACAGUGCUUCACUGUAGACUCUGUGAAGCCGUUUCUAAACUCCGCCCUCCCCUCCCCGUGACUGGAGUUUAGUGUAGUGCGGGGAGGGAGAGGGAGCCGGUAAACAAACUGAAAGCAUGGCUCCAGGCAUUCCCCUUCAACACUGCUGCCUAACCUGGUCUGGAUUUCCUGCAUGAUGUCAUGAACUAGCGACACAUGCAGCAGAUGAGCAGGCUGCUCCAGGCCUCCAUGUUUGUGGACUUUAUGUGGCAGCACAUGCAACUAACUGAUUUGCCAGCAGAAGACAAGGCACUCGGAUUUAUUGCUACAAAGUCUGCUCCUGCUCCGGUGAAGCACAAAUUCCCCUAAGUGCAGGGCUGAGCUCCCUUGGAACCCCCAACACACUGUACAAAGUAUAUCUGUGGCCUCCGCGUUACUAACCUCAAAAGGUCACAUGACCAGAGCACUAGGAUCCUGGGAAGUCUGUUGCAGACAAUCUGAUUGUGUUUGGUUCCAGUAUGUACAGCCUGUAGCUAACCUGUUGGUGAUCAUAGUAUGAGGACUGUGUCUGCCUUUUUCCAGACUAUACCACCCUGCUGUGCCUAUAACUCGUGCAAUAUGAGUGGUACAUUUAUUUUAAGGAUUUAAUAAAAUGUUCCCUAAUUUCA